AACGAACGCUGGCGGCGUGCCUAACACAUGCAAGUCGUACGUGAAAGUCUUCGGAUGAGUAAAGUGGCGCACGGGUGAGUAACACGUAGGUGACCUGCCGUUUAGAGGGGGAUAACCAGAAGAAAUUUUGGCUAAUACCGCAUACGAAGUACAAAUCUUAGAGUAGUACUUGAAAGAAUGCCUCUGUAUAUGCAUUUACUAAACGAUGGGCCUGCGGUGCAUUAGCUAGUUGGGGGGGUAAUGGCCUACCAAGGCGACGAUGCAUAUCCGGUCUGAGAGGAUGAUCGGACACACUGGAACUGAGACACGGUCCAGACUCCUACGGGAGGCAGCAGUGGGGAAUAUUGCGCAAUGGGGGAAACCCUGACGCAGCAACGCCGCGUGAGUGAGGAAGGACUUCGGUCUGUAAAGCUCUGUUAAUGUGGAAAAAUGCUUGCUGGUCUAAUAGGCCAGUAAGUUGAUGGUACACAUAGAGGAAGCACCGGCUAACUUCGUGCCAGCAGCCACAGUAA
rnacentral:rRNA from 1 species